rnacentral:tRNA from 1 species
GCCCGUUAGCUCAGUUGGUACAGCAUCAGACUUUUAAUCUGAGGGCCAUGGGUUCGAGUCACAUAUCGGGCU